rnacentral:rRNA from 1 species
UACGUAGGGGGCAAGCGUUGUCCGGAUUUAUUGGGCGUAAAGAGCGUGUAGGCGGCUGGGUAGGUCCGUUGUGAAAACUCGAGGCUCAACCUCGAGACGCCGAUGGAAACCCUCCAGCUAGAGUCCGGAAGAGGAGAUUGGAAUUCCUGGUGUAGCGGUGAAAUGCGCAGAUAUCAGGAGGAACACCAACAGCGAAGGCAGAUCUCUGGGACGUUACUGACGCUGAGACGCGAAAGCGUGGGGAGCAAACAGG